rnacentral:rRNA from 1 species
GUGGAUUAGAUACCCUAGUAGUCCACGCUGUAAACGAUGACGACUAGGUGUGGGGGGGGUUAGUCCUUUCCGUGCCGCAGCUAACGCAUUAAGUCGUCCGCCUGGGGAGUACGGCCGCAAGGUUGAAACUCAAAGGAAUUGACGGGGGCCCGCACAAGCGGUGGAGCAUGUGGUUCAAUUCGAUGCAGAGCGAAGAACCUUACCUGGGCUUGACAUGCUGGAAGUAGAAACCCGAAAGGGGGACGACCUGUUGAGUCAGGAGCCAGCACAGGUGGUGCAUGGCCGUCGACAACU